UCCCUGAUGGCUCAGAUGGUCAAAGAAUCUGCCUGCAAUGCAGGAGACCCAGGUUCCAUUCCUGGGUGGGGAA
rfam:Ovis aries breed Texel chromosome 7, whole genome shotgun sequence.